GGGUUUCAUCACGUUGCCCCGGCUGGUCUUGAACUCCGUGACUCAAACAAUCCGCACGCCUAGUCCUCCCAAAGUGCUGAGAUUACAGGCCUGAGCCACCGCGCCCAGCCUGAACCUCCUACUUAAUGUCAGAAAUUUGAUUUGACUUCACAGGGAAAGCCCUGAGAAACUACCAGAACGGGGUCCCUGGGGCCAGUGUUGGGAGCGUACGGUGAAGGGGCAGGGCUGCUGCGCCCGUGCGGAACUCCCCUGUGGAAGAUUAGCCCGUUUGGUGACUCGUCGGUUCUGGCCGCUUUGGGACCCUCUACUGUGCAGUCUGAACUUUCAGCAGGUGGAGGAGGGCAGAGAGAGAGCUGAGAUUGUUGGUCCAUGCCAGUGCGAGAGCCAGUACGGCCGGAAGCCAUGAUGGGACUUUCAGUUCCUUUCUUGGUGGAGGCCAGCACAGGGGAGAGGGGGUGCCCAUAGAUGCUAGAAGCUUAAAGGCUGCUGGGGGCUAGCGGCCUCAAGACAUAAGGUUUCCAGACAGGACGGGGCAGGUGGUGAUGCAGCUGUAGCUCGUGAGUCUGAGCGGGAAACAGCCCCCGCACAGUCGGUGUCGCUGUGAACGGAAAAGGGCCUUCCUUACACAGGAAACGGGGUCUCUGGGGGAUCCAGUGACGUGCCCGACCACAGAGACCAGGUGAGACUGGCUGAUGGUGUCUGGGGCUGCAGGUGACUUAGUUGGGGGACCUGCUCUUGGCCUCCAGACUGGGCCUGAUGGCGUGGGCGCCUGCCUGUGUGCAGGCCCAAGGGCUCAGCUGCCUCUGUCUGUCCCCAGACCCCUCCUCCUGUAGAGAGUGGUGCUGCCCUCUCGGGAUGUACCUGCAGGUGGAGACCCGCACCAGCUCCCGCCUCCAUCUGAAGAGGGCUCCAGGCAUCCGGUCCUGGUCCCUGCUGGUUGGUAAGGCUCUCCACGUCCCUCCCCAGAACCCCAAAACCGGAAGCCUGACUUUCAAAAAGGAUGAAAAUGAAACAAAAUAUUUUCUCUUUUUUCUAUUACCUUGAAAUCUAAUGGCUAUUUUGUUUCUUCGUAUCCAUUCAAAUUCUAUCUGGUGUACUUGGUUUUACAGAUAAUGCAUGUCUGUUUUGUCCCCUUUUAAUCACUAACACCCAGAGUAUUUAAUAUACUCUAUGAGCUUUUCUGAGGUCACCAUAUUUUCCUUUGUACUUGUUUUGAACCACGUGAUGGGUGAUCGUGGGUUCCCAUGUCUCCUCCUCCCUGGUCCUCAGACCUCUUCAUAGGACUCACAGUCCACUUAGCCUCCUGUCCUCCAUCCCUACCCACCAGUAGGGUCCUGUACCCUUGGGGACAGCUGCACUUGUGUUGACGGGACACCGUGUGAGGAGUGGUGCUGGCUGUACCUCAGCAGCUGGGGCCCACCUUUUUUGUGACACGCCACAGCCUCCUGUGUGUUUUGCAUGACACGCUCGCUGUGUUGUAAUUUCUUUGUGCACAGUCUUCAGGCCUCACCACGUGCUACUGGAGUAACACCCGUGUCAGUUAUGGAGCCUCACACAGCAGAUGUGUCUAGUAAAUACUGUGAAUAGUGUAUACUGUGUUUUGCUUUUGUUUUCUUUAGUAAUGAGGUCUCGUUAUGUUGCCCAGGCUGGUCUCAAACUCCUGAGCUCAAGCGAUCUUCCUUCCUCGGCCUCCCAGGGAGCUGGGAUUACAAGUGUGUGAUACUACGCCCAGCUAUACUGCAUUAGUGAACCAACUUCCUGGCUGUUUCCCCUACUCUGAACCUGGUGGUCUGUAACCCCUGACCACAGCUGUUCCUACAGUGGGAAGGGCCUGCUCAUCAGGGGCUGUGGCUCCUGGUCCCGCUGCACCGGGGAGGUGGGGUCUUACCGGGAUCAAUAGGCAGGCAGUCACUUUCUCUUCAUAGGAAUCUUGUCGAUUGGCCUGGCUGCUGCCUACUACAGCGGAGAUAGCCUGGGCUGGAAGCUCUUCUACGUCACAGGCUGCCUGUUUGUGGCUGUGCAGAACUUGGAGGACUGGGAGGAAGCCAUCUUCGACAAGAGCACAGGGAAGGUUGUUUUGAAGACGUUCAGCCUCUACAAGAAGCUGCUGACUCUUUUCAGAGCUGGCCACGACCAGGUGGUGGUCCUGCUCCAUGAUGUCCGUGAUGUGAGCGUGGAGGAGGAGAAGGUCCGGUACUUCGGGAAAGGCUACAUGGUGGUGCUCCGGCUUGCGACGGGCUUCUCCCACCCCCUCACGCAGAGUGCAGUCAUGGGCCACCGCAGUGAUGUGGAAGCCAUCGCCAAGCUCAUCACCAGCUUCCUGGAGCUGCACUGCCUUGAGAGCCCCACAGAGCUGUCUCAGAGCAGCGACAGUGAGGCCGGUGACCCUGCAAGCCAGAGCUGACAGCCCCACUGUGCCUGAGCCCGUGCACCGCCCACAGGACCCGUGGCACAUUCCCGGUGUGCCUGAGCCCGUGCACCGCCCGCAGGACCCGUGGCACAUUCCCGGUGUGCCUGAGCCCGUGCACCGCCCGCAGGACCCGUGGCACAUUCCCGGUGUGCCUGAGCCCGUGCACCGCCCGCAGGAUCCGUGGCACAUUCCCGGUGUGCCUGAGCCCGUGCACCGCCCACAGGACCCGUGGCCUUGGCUUCAGUCGGUGCCUCCAGCCGAGUUGGCCUAUUGCCUGCUCAUGCUGCUGCUUGCACACUGCAUGAAACAGCAGGCCAGACCAGGACACCCAGACCUUCUCCAUCGUGAGGCCUGGGCCUGCCUUUCUGCAGCCGGAGGUCUCGCCAGCCCUGGACUCCUGCUGUGGGCCACAGCAAGACCUCGGGUGAGUGGAGAGGCGGGGCCAGGCCGGGCCCUUGUGGGUGCUGAUGCUGCAUGUUGUCCCCAACACAGCGUCCUCUCCCUGGUGGACAUCCCCAGCGGUCAGGUGCUUCCCCAAGGGCAGUGAGGGGUGAACAUCCAGGGCCUACCUGGCUGUGCACGCUGCAGCCACACUGUGGAAGCUGCCCCUCCCCGAGGACCCGCCUCCCUUGCUGAUGCCAGGAUCUCGGCGCAUAGACCACUCUGCCCCAGCGGUCGUCACAGAAAGGUCUCUCUGUUCCUCACACUCAGCCUCAGCAUAAGCUGUGAGGCCAGAAAAAAGGUCAGCUCUUCUAGUAUCGUGCAGUGCUUAAAAACUGGGAGCUCCGGCCGGGCGCAGUGGUUCAUGCCAGUAAUCCCAGCACUUUCGGAGGCCGAGGUGGGAGGAUUGCUUGAGGCCAGGAGUUCAAGACCAGCCUGGGCAACACAGCAAGAUCCUGUCUUUGUAAAAAAAACUAACCAAACAGGAAAAACUGGGAGAUUUUCUGCAGAAAUUGAGUUCCAGCCUCUCUCGAACCUGGGAAGACCUGGCAGGAGGGGCUCUCGGCUACAGACUUCUCCCCACCCCGUAGGAGCUGAACGCCAACCAUCCUGACCCGCCAGUGCUCUUGGUCUCCUGAGUGCACCCAGGUCCUCCCAGGUGCGGUGUGCACCGAGCGCGCCUGGCCUGAUGCCCUGGCCUGUGAGCUGGGGACUCCUGGGCCCUGUGAGCCCCUAGGUGGCAGGCCCAGGAAUGGCUGGGUAGGACAGGGAACACCUUUGCCCCACGUCUGGCUGUGACCUCGGUGAAAGCCGACAGGAGAGAGAUGGGACCCUCCUACUCAGCAGUGGCUGCCAGUCCCUCGUUGCAGGACAUGGUCAUCGUAACCAUAAAUAACCCUUCGCAUGUC
rnacentral:sRNA from 1 species